AGUGCGGGGGUCAGGUGUGGAAAGGAGGGUUUCUUCUUGUCUUUUCCACCUCGGUUUUUCCUCUGAUCCCAUUACAUCCACGCUGUUUGCGGCCAGCCAGCCUUAAACUAGGACCCAAAUGGCUCAGCUUUAUAGAGGCCUUCCUCCAGUCAAUAACCAUUGAUAAGAACACCUGGCUUGGCUUGACUGGGUUGCAUAUGACCAAUCAAUCAAGGGCUGUUUUUAUCUUAUAUUUUUGCUACUUUUAUUUUUAUUUGGGUGGGGGAAGGGAGGUAAAUGUUUUUUUUUUAAUUAAAAAAAAAAAGGCACUAAAAACCCUGUGAGGUGCUUCAGGGUAAUGUUCAGGGUAUCACCAGGCCUAAGAUCUGUUUUUAGGGGGUUGAAAUCCUAAAUCGACACAUGUUGCAGAAGAGCAAGGGAGGGCUGAGGCUUGUCCUGGAGAAUGAUGUGAUCUGGGAUACAGCGUUGUACACAGACGGGGCUAAGAUAAAAGUGUACACGUAGUGCUUGGGUUGGGGGUGUAUACAGAUGCAUCUGAUGAAGUGGGUUUUAGCCCAUGAAAGCUUAUGCUCAAAUAAAUGUGUUCGUCUCUAAGGUG